rnacentral:rRNA from 1 species
AUUGAACGCUGGCGGCAUGCCUUACACAUGCAAGUCGAACGGCAGCACGGGGGCAACCCUGGUGGCGAGUGGCGAACGGGUGAGUAAUAUAUCGGAACGUACCCUGGAGUGGGGGAUAACGUAGCGAAAGUUACGCUAAUACCGCAUACGAUCUAUGGAUGAAAGCGGGGGAUCGCAAGACCUCGCGCUCGUGGAGCGGCCGAUAUCUGAUUAGCUAGUUGGUGGGGUAAAGGGCCACCAAGGCUUCGAUCAGUAGCUGGUCUGAGAGGACGACCAGGCACACUGGAACUGAGACACGGUCCAGACUCCCACGGGAGGCAGCAGUGGGGAAUUUUGGACAAUGGGGGCAACCCUGAUCCAGCAAUGCCGCGUGAGUGAAGAAGGCCUUCGGGUUGUAAAGCUCUUUUGUCAGGGAAGAAACGGUCUUGGAUAAUACCUAGGGCUAAUGACGGUACCUGAAGAAUAAGCACCGGCUAACUACGUGCCAGCCGCCGCGGUAAGAC